rnacentral:rRNA from 1 species
GAUGAACGCUGGCGGCGUGCCUAAUACAUGCAAGUCGAGCGAACAGACGAGGAGCUUGCUCCUCUGACGUUAGCGGCGGACGGGUGAGUAACACGUGGAUAACCUACCUAUAAGACUGGGAUAACUUCGAGAAACCGGAGCUAAUACCGGAUAAUAUAUUGAACCGCAUGGUUCAAUAGUGAAAGACGGUUUUGCUGUCACUUAUAGAUGGAUCCGCGCCGCAUUAGCUAGUUGGUAAGGUAACGGCUUACCAAGGCAACGAUGCGUAGCCGACCUGAGAGGGUGAUCGGCCACACUGGAAGUGAGACACGGUCCAGACUCCUACGGGAGGCAGCAGUAGGGAAUCUUCCGCAAUGGGCGAAAGCCUGACGGAGCAACUCCGAGGGAGUGAUGAAGGUCCUCGGAUCGUAAAACUCUGUUAUUAGGGAAGAACAAAUGUGUAAGUAACUAUGCACGUCUUGACGGUACCUAAUCAGAAAGCCACGGCUAACUACGUG